GGCGGGUGUGGUGGUGCACGCCUUUAAUCCCAGCAGCUUGGGAGGCUGAGGCAGGAGGAUCACAGAGUUCAAAGCCAGCCUCAGCAAAAGGGAAGCACUAAGCAACUCAGUGAGACCCUGUCUCUA
rnacentral:sRNA from 1 species